rnacentral:rRNA from 1 species
GGCAGCCGCGGUAAUUCCAGCUCCAAUAGCGUAUAUUAAAGUUGUUGCAGUUAAAAAGCUCGUAGUUGAAUUUCGGGAUCAAUAUGUCGGUCGUGCCUUCGGUACGCACUGGUAUCAUUGGUUUCUCCUUUCUGACGAACCAUGAUGUCAUUAAUUUGGUGUUAUGGGGAGUUAGGACUGUUACUUUGAAAAAAUUAGAGUGUUUAAAGCAGGCUUUAGCUUGAAUACAUUAGCAUGGAAUAAUGAAAUAGGACGUUCGAACCUAUUUUGUUGGUUUCUAGGAUCAACGUAAUGAUUAAUAGGGAUAGUUGGGGGCAUUAGUAUUCAAUUGUCAGUGGUGAAAUUCUUGGAUUUAUUGAAGACUAACUACUGCGAAAGCAUUUGCCAAGGAUGUUUUCAUUAAUCAAGAACGAAAGUUAGGGGAUCGAAGACGAUCAGAUACCGUCGUAGUCUUAACCAUAAACUAUGCCGACUAGGGAUCGGAUGAUGUUAAUUUUUUAAUGACUCA